rnacentral:rRNA from 1 species
AAAUUGAAGAGUUUGAUCAUGGCUCAGAUUGAACGCUGGCGGCAGGCCUAACACAUGCAAGUCGAACGGUAACAGGAAGCAGCUUGCUGCUUCGCUGACGAGUGGCGGACGGGUGAGUAAUGUCUGGGAAACUGCCUGAUGGAGGGGGAUAACUACUGGAAACGGUAGCUAAUACCGCAUAACGUCGCAAGACCAAAGAGGGGGACCUUCGGGCCUCUUGCCAUCGGAUGUGCCCAGAUGGGAUUAGCUAGUAGGUGGGGUAACGGCUCACCUAGGCGACGAUCCCUAGCUGGUCUGAGAGGAUGACCAGCCACACUGGAACUGAGACACGGUCCAGACUCCUACGGGAGGCAGCAGUGGGGAAUAUUGCACAAUGGGCGCAAGCCUGAUGCAGCCAUGCCGCGUGUAUGAAGAAGGCCUUCGGGUUGUAAAGUACUUUCAGCGGGGAGGAAGGGAGUAAAGUUAAUACCUUUGCUCAUUGACGUUACCCGCAGAAGAAGCACCGGCUAACUCCGUGCCAGCAGCCGCGGUAAUACGGAGGGUGCAAGCGUUAAUCGGAAUUACUGGGCGUAAAGCGCACGCAGGCGGUUUGUUAAGUCAGAUGUGAAAUCCCCGGGCUCAACCACGGGAACUGCAUCUGAUACUGGCAAGCUUGAGUCUCGUAGAGGGGGUAGAAUUCGGGUGUAGCGGUGAAAUGCGUAGAGAUCUGGAGGAAUACCGGUGGCGAAGGCGGCCCCCUGGACGAAGACUGACGCUCAGGUGCGAAAGCGUGGGGAGCAAACAGGAUUAGAUACCCUGGUAGUCCACGCCGUAAACGAUGUCGACUUGGAGGUUGUGCCCUUGAGGCGUGGCUUCCGGAGCUAACGCGUUAAGUCGACCGCCUGGGGAGUACGGCCGCAAGGUUAAAACUCAAAUGAAUUGACGGGGGCCCGCACAAGCGGUGGAGCAUGUGGUUUAAUUCGAUGCAACGCGAAGAACCUUACCUGGUCUUGACAUCCACGGAAGUUUUCAGAGAUGAGAAUGUGCCUUCGGGAACCGUGAGACAGGUGCUGCAUGGCUGUCGUCAGCUCGUGUUGUGAAAUGUUGGGUUAAGUCCCGCAACGAGCGCAACCCUUAUCCUUUGUUGCCAGCGGUCCGGCCGGGAACUCAAAGGAGACUGCCAGUGAUAAACUGGAGGAAGGUGGGGAUGACGUCAAGUCAUCAUGGCCCUUACGACCAGGGCUACACACGUGCUACAAUGGCGCAUACAAAGAGAAGCGACCUCGCGAGAGCAAGCGGACCUCAUAAAGUGCGUCGUAGUCCGGAUUGGAGUCUGCAACUCGACUCCAUGAAGUCGGAAUCGCUAGUAAUCGUGGAUCAGAAUGCCACGGUGAAUACGUUCCCGGGCCUUGUACACACCGCCCGUCACACCAUGGGAGUGGGUUGCAAAAGAAGUAGGUAGCUUAACCUUCGGGAGGGCGCUUACCACUUUGUGAUUCAUGACUGGGGUGAAGUCGUAACAAGGUAACCGUAGGGGAACCUGCGGUUGGAUCACCUCCUUACCUUAAAGAAGC